rnacentral:rRNA from 1 species
UACGGAGGGUGCGAGCGUUUGUCCGGAAUCAUUGGGCGUAAAGGGCGCGUAGGUGGCCUGCUAAGCGUGCGGUGAAAGUCGGGGGCUCAACCCCCGAUCGGCCGUGCGAACUGGGAGGCUUGAGCACUGUAGAGGCAGGCGGAAUUCCGGGUGUAGCGGUGGAAUGCGUAGAGAUCCGGAAGAACACCGGUGGCGAAGGCGGCCUGCUGGGCAGUUUUGCUGACACUGAGGCGCGACAGCGUGGGGAGCAAACAGG